UACUUGUAUGAAUGGCCUAUGUUCAUUU
rnacentral:sRNA from 1 species